GUCUGCUCUCUCCCCUAACUCGCUGCGCCGUCUUUUACCGUGCGCGCUAAUCAGUGACCGGGGCUGGUUUUGGUUAUCCCACAGUCAGAUGGCAAACGUUUCAUGUCUCCCAUGUCUAUUGUACUUCAUCAGGUGCUCUGGUGUGACUUGUAACCCGGCACAUGUUGAAGUACACUCAAUAUGCGUUGAUUUGCAUUUGCUGUUUGGGUUAAUAAAGUUCAUCAAAUAUUAUGUAUAAUUAAAAGUUCAAAAUAAAUAUUGUUAAA